rnacentral:rRNA from 1 species
AUGCAGAGAUGGAGAAGCAGAGCGCCAAGAAGGCGAGGACGGCUCCCGCCUCCCGUGAAAGGGGGCCCGGUAAACGAGCCCCGGGUGGAGGAAGAAGAUCAAUCCGCCGGCUCUUACACAAUCGAGGCGGAGGCGCUGCGAUGUGACAUCUGCUUCAAGCCUUUCGGAGAGCAGAUCUUCAUGAACGGGCACCCUGCCUGCGGGAGCUGCUGCCUCAUCAUGGACCGGAUGUGCUUCUGCACCGAACCCAUCGGCGACAUCCGCUGCCGGGCGCUGGAGAAGGUCCUGGCGGCCAUGACUGACCUACGGCUGCCACCAGAUCGUCACCUACACCGAGAGGCGGCGCCACGAGGAGGCGUGCCGGUACGCGCCGUACCACUGCCCCUUCGAAGGCUGCACCUACUACGGCCUGCUGCUGUACAACCACAUCGAGGACCUCCACGCGUCAGACGACGACGAGGCAGCGGUGGUCGUGCGCUGCAACCGGCGCUCGGCCGUCACGCUGGAGAAGGCCAUGCCCUUCCGCGUGCUCCUGCACCGCGACGGCGCCAGCAUGUUCCUCCUGCUCAACGGCGGCGACGUCCUGGCCGGCCGCUCGCUGUCGCUCGUCUGCAUGGGCCCUCGCCCCACCGGGAACGCCGAGGUGAAGUACAAGAUGGAGGUGAAGAAGCGGAACGACCCGGGGGCGCUCGUGCUGUGGAGCUCCGGGGCCGCGCCCUUCGUCCGGCGGCUCAAGGAUUUCCAGGCCAGAGGGUUCCUCUUCGUGCCCAGCUCCUACUGGGACUCCUCCGACAGCGUCUCGGUCACGGUGCACCUCACCGACGGCUGGUGAUCGAUCGAGCACGGUCGGUGACGCUGCACUCCGGUUUGGUUUCGCUGAUGGCUAGUUAG